GUAGAAAUAAAGCAUCAUUAAAAUAAUCGAACAUUAUUUAGUGUUAAUAACAUUUUAAUUUUUUUAUUUUGAAGCAGCCAAACCUUUCGUUAACCAUGCUACUGUCAAGCACUAUAUGAAAGAUUGGAAGAUUUAUAAAGGCCGGGGGAAAAGGGAAUGACCCCUCUUAUUUGACAAUGGAUGCAACACUAAUGUAACUUUUGACCGAGGUGUGUUAAAACAUCAUCAACACAUUUAACAUUAGUUUUACAUUUACCUUCAAUGUUUUGUAGUUGUCCGGUAUUAAUUUAUAGAACUUUUUGUUAUACAGA